UUAACAUAUAUUCUUCUAACCUAAUAUGUAAUCAUCUAAAUAUCUGAUUUAAAAUAUUUUAUUCAUUGGAGGCUUUUUAAUUUUAAUGAUAUAAGAGACAUUACUAAUGAGGUUGUUUUUUUUUUCAUUUUAGUUAAUUUUCAUUUGUUUUAAUUUUUAUAUACUUUGUUGUGACAUUUAAAAAAAACAAUUAUUUCAGUUUUAUAUUGAAUUUAGUUCACAUAGUUUAUGUUUACAUAAUUUAUGUUUUAAAACAUAAUUUCUCUUAGAAAAUUAAAUUAAGAAGAAUCUAAUUAAACCGAUCCAAAAAAACAAACUGAACCAAAU
rnacentral:lncRNA from 1 species